GGCAGUGAUAUCCUUUUCACAGCAGUUGCAUUGGUUAAGCUUCAGUGGAUUGAGUAAUCAGGGUAUGAGACCCAAAGGAUUAACUUCAAAAGGCACUGUCGCCAGGUAAAAAGAUUGGCAGGAUCUCAGUCCAGCUUCCCACGUCUCCAUCUUGAAUACAGGCUACAUCAGUCUUAUGUUGCUAUGGAAGAAAGCCAAGAAGUAAAGUAAUCCCAUCAAGAUCAAAGCAUCUCAGAAUCAGAUACAGAAGGAGAUUAAAAUCUUGGAUGUCAUCUCAUCAAAGAAGACAGAGCUUUACGGGGCUAAUUUUAAUGAACAGUGAACUGUCAUUGCUUCAUACUUUCUUUUCGGUUUUAAAAGUGGGAUUUUCUGAAAUAAAAUUGUACAGACCAUCUAAUCUUGA